rnacentral:rRNA from 1 species
UACGGAGGGUGCAAGCGUUAAUCGGAAUUACUGGGCGUAAAGCGCGCGUAGGUGGUUUGGUAAACGAGAUGUGAAAGCCCCGGGCUUAACCUGGGAACGGCAUUUCGAACUGCCAGACUAGAGUGUGGUAGAGGGUAGUGGAAUUUCCUGUGUAGCGGUGAAAUGCGUAGAUAUAGGAAGGAACACCAGUGGCGAAGGCGGCUACCUGGACCAACACUGACACUGAGGUGCGAAAGCGUGGGGAGCAAACAGGAUUAGAUACCCCCGUAGUCCCUGAGCGGG